GGAAGAGAUUUCUUGGAAGAAUGACAUGGCCGUUGAGACUUCAGGAUAUAUAGGUAUUGCGAGCCAGGUCAUCACUGUGAAUGGAUGUAUAGCUAUGAUUAUGCAGAUAAAGAAUAAUGGCAUGUUGAAAUAUAUCUUCACUAAGGACAUGAAACAGACCACAGGUGUGAGACAUAACAGUCUUGGUUGCCGAUACCUGAUGGGCCAGCUCGUGAGCGAUGAUUUUAG